rnacentral:rRNA from 1 species
GAUCCUGGCUCAGGAUGAACGCUAGCGACAGGCUUAACACAUGCAAGUCGAGGGGCAUCAUGAGGUAGCAAUACCUUGAUGGCGACCGGCGCACGGGUGAGUAACGCGUAUGCAACCUGCCUGAUACCGGGGUAUAGCCCAUGGAAACGUGGAUUAACACCCCAUAGUACUUUUAUCCUGCAUGGGAUGUGAGUUAAAUGUUUAAAGGUAUCGGAUGGGCAUGCGUCCUAUUAGUUAGUUGGG